AACCCUUUAAUUUUUUGGGUUAAAAUCGCCCAUUUUUGGGUCAUUUUUGCUUCAAAAUUAUACAUUUUUAGCAACGACUGAAUAAAUUUGUUCCAUUUUGGUCAAUUUCUGCCAUUUUUGGGUCAAUUUUUACCAUUUUGGGUUCAAAUUUUGGCCAUUUUUGGGUCAUUUUUGACCUUUAUUUUGGUUAAAAUCGCCCAUUUUUGGGUCAUUUUGGGUCAAAAUUGCCAUUUUUAGCAACGAUUGAAUCAAUUUGUGCCAUUUUGGGUCAAUUUUUACCAUUUUGGGUCAUUUCUGCCUUUGGGUCAAUUUUGCCCAUUUUGGGUCAUUUUUGACCCUUUAAUUUUUGGGUUAAAAUCGUCCAUUUUUGGGUCAUUUUGGUCAAAUUGCCAUUUUUAGCAACGAUUGAAUAAAUUUGGUGCCAUUUUGGGCAAUUUCUGCCAUUUUUGGGUCAAAUUUCUGCCAUUUUUGGGUCAAUUUUUGGCCCAUUUUGGGUCAUUUUUGGCCCUUUAAUUUUUGGGUUAAAAUCGCCCAUUUUUGGUCAUUUUGGGUCAAAAUUGACAUUUUUAACAUCUUACAUUAAAUAUUGUUCAUUUUUGGGUCAAUUUUCUGCCAUUAUUGGGUUCAAUUUUGGCCCAUUUUGGGUCAUUUUUGACCCUUUAUUUUUGGGUUAAAAUCGCCCAAUUUGGUCAUUUUGGGUCAAAAUUGACAUUUUUAGCAACGAUUGAAUAAAUUUGUUCAUUUUUGGGUCAAUUUUCUGCCAUUUUGGGUCAAUUUCUGCCAUUUUUGGGUCAAUUUUGGCCCAUUUUGGGUCAUUUUUGGGUCUAUUCAUUUUUGGGUUAAAAUCGCCCAUUUUUGGUCAUUUUGGGUCAAAAUUGACAUUUUUAACAUCUACAUUAAAUAUUUGUUCAUUUUUGGGUCAAUUUCUGCCAUUUUUGGGUCAAUUUUGGGUCAUUUUGGGUCAUUUGGACCUUUUAUUUUGGGUUAAAAUCGCCCAUUUUUGGGUCAUUUUGGGUCAAAAUUGUCAUUUUUAGCAACGAUUGAAUCAAUUUGUGCCAUUUUGGUCAAUUCUGCCAUUUUUGGGUCAAUUUCUGCAUUUUGGGUCAAUUUUGUGGGUCAUUUUGGGUCAUGUUUUGACCAUUAAUUUUUGGGUUAAAAUCGCCCAUUUUUGGUCAUUUUGGGUCAAAAUUUGACAUUUUUAGCAAGAUUGAAUCAAUUGUUCAUUUUUGGGUCAAUUUCUGCCAUUUUUGGGUCAAUUUUGGGCCAUUUUGGGUCAUUUUGUGACCCUUUAAUUUUUGGGUUAAAAUCGCCCAUUUUGUGGUCAUUUUGGGUCAAAAUGACAUUUUUAAACAUCUGUAUUAAUAUUUUUGUUCCUUUUUGGGUCAAUUUUGUGGCCAUUUUGGGUCAAUUUCUGCCAUUUUUGGGUCAAUUUUGGCCUAUUUUGGGUCAUUUUUGACCCUUUAAUUUUUGGUUAAAAUCGUCCAUUUUGGGUCAUUUUGGGUCAAAAUUGCCAUUUUUAGCAACGAUUGAAUAAAUUUGGGCCAUUUGGGUCA
ensembl:lncRNA